GUCCUCUUCAAGGUGCUUUAGAAAUUAUUAAAAAGAUGGAAGUGUUGUUUCAGUGCUCACCCAAUGAAGCUCCUCACUGUCAGGAGGCCAGUCUGGUGUGAGCUGCUCUCCUUGGCCCUGGCACUAGCUGAGGAAAGGCCCUGGAUCAAAGAUGUCCUGGCAGCAAGAAUAUUCACACCCACUCUUGAGCCAGGAGGGUUUGACUGGCAGCAGUGGUGGAUUCUGACGUAGACUGAGCUCGAAAUGUGCUUGCUUCCUCUCCAAAACUGAGGCCCAUUUGCACAACAAGCAAAAAGGACAAGGUCAGCGGUCUCCAGUCCCGAGGUCAUCGCUCAUCAAGAGGGGAUAAUCCCAAGGACAGCAGGACCUGCUUCAUCCCUUGGAUUUAGAGGGAGAAACCCAUCAGGCCACCAAACAGUAACAAUGACCCACCAUUAAACACACCGAGAGAAGAGCGUGAUGAGGAAUUUGUACAAGAAAAGUCCAGGAGUUCUUGCUGACAAUGUCUGACCACAGUGAGCUCUGCCCAUUGAACUGCAAUAAAAACUCUCCCCCUCCCCAGAGUUGUGUGGAUGUGGACACAGUUCAGGCAAUGGGCUCUGCCUGGAUAUAACAGGCUGAAAAGAAUUUGGACUGUGGGGGUCAGAUAGACCUGGGUUUGAAUUGUUAUUCUGCCACUUCUCUCUAGUAUGCUUUGGCAACAUUUGAAAAUCUCUGCCUCAUUUUUUCUUAUCUGCAAAAAAGUAGCUGAGACCUACACUGGGUCUUUUAAGAGGAUCAAAUACAACAGUGUUUGAAAAGCA